rnacentral:rRNA from 1 species
UGGGGAAUAUUGCGCAAUGGGGGGAACCCUGACGCAGCCAUGCCGCGUGAAUGAAGAAGGCCUUAGGGUUGUAAAGUUCUUUCGGUAUUGAGGAAGGUUGAUGUGUUAAUAGCACAUCAAAUUGACGUUAAAUACAGAAGAAGCACCGGCUAACUCCGUGCCAGCAGCCGCGGUAAUACGGAGGGUGCGAGCGUUAAUCGGAAUAACUGGGCGUAAAGGGCACGCAGGCGGUUAUUUAAGUGAGGUGUGAAAGCCCCGGGCUUAACCUGGGAAUUGCAUUUCAGACUGGGUAACUAGAGUACUUUAGGGAGGGGUAGAAUUCCACGUGUAGUGGUGAAAUGCGUAGAGAUGUGGAGGAAUACCGAAGGCGAAGGCAGCCCCUUGGGAAUGUACUGACGCUCAUGUGCGAAAGCGUGGGGAGCAAACAGGAUUAGAUACCCUGGUAGUCCACGCUGUAAACGCUGUCGAUUUGGGGGUUGGGGUUUAACUCUGGCGCCCGUAGCUAACGUGAUAAAUCGACCGCCUGGGGAGUACGGCCGCAAGGUUA